GGCAAGGGCUCUUCCGUCCUUUCCCAGAACUUCCACCAGUCUCCUGACUAAUCCUAAGUCCUUCCUUAACUGCUUGAUUUCCCGUGGCGCCCUUCUCUUCUCCUGAAGGCAACAAGAACACACAAUGAGUAAUGGGUAAAACGAAGAAUGCCUGGUUCCUAGCUUCUUUGCUCUUCGGGUUGUACUUCACCAGCGUCUGGACAGCUCCUCCACUCCCAUAGACCUCCUAGGUAGAUAUAAGGUAACACCCAAAUCCCUGAGGGCACAGGUAAGGAACAACGGUAAGGAUGUAGCAAGGUAACUAGGCCAUGCCCCUGGAUGUCCACCGGUAUAUCAGAAGCGAGUAACUUUUUACUCGUAUCACAGAUAGAUAUUGAGCAAGGUGACUGACUCUUCACACUAGGCUUACUGAGCGGGUUCCAGAGCAAUGGCUUUUAACUCGUGCAGGCGGGUAAGUAUUCAACAAGUAGCUGUAUCUUCACACUGGGCUUUACAGGGCGUAUUCAAGGGCAAUAGCUUUUAGCUCGUACAGAGAGGUAAGUAUUCAACAAGUGGCUGUAUCUUCACGCUGGGCUUUACAGGGCGUAUUCAAGGGCAAUAGCUUUUAGCUCGUACAGAGAAGUAAGUAUUCAACAAGUGGCUGUAUCUUCACGCUGGGCUUACAGAGCGUAUUCAAGGGCAAUAGCUUUUAGCUCGUACAGACAGGUAAGUAUUCAACAAGUAACUGUAUCUUCACGCUGGGCUUUACAGGGCGUAUUCAAGGGCAAUAGCUUUUAGCUCGUACAGACAGGUAAGUAUUCAACAAGUGACUGGAUCUUCACGCUGGGCUUACAGAGCGUAUUCAAGGUCAGUAGCUUUCCCCACAAUAUCCGCACAAUACCUUGUUUUGCUUUCACACUUCACCUUCGAGCUGGGUCCGGAGAACGGAGUUAUAGGCGGGCGUAGGUGGGAUAGGUGGGCACCGCCACGGCAGCCUACGUUCUUUCCAACAGGAACUUUUCUCGGCCUGGAGGGCAAGUACAGACAACAGGGAAACGGCACAGCACUGCAAAGCUUUAGUGCACACACGUCAAAGACAGACUCACCCACUGCACUACACACACUUCAGUGAUUUUUAAGGUCGGUACUCCACACCCGGUCGGAUUUCGUCCUGGAGGAAUUUGCAGUCGCUGUCACGGUAAGUGCUCCAAACUUUACGGUGUGGCCACAGCCAAAUAACAUCCAUUCACCCACGCUCUACUUCGGCUCACCCACUCGUCUCGUCC
ensembl:lncRNA